rfam:Shigella dysenteriae Sd197, complete genome.
UAAAAAGAAUUCAGAAUCAGGCCGGAGUGCUAAAUACUCCGUAAACACGGUCGUACAUCCAGCCGGUAGCCUGAUUCCUUGCAUUGAGUGAUGUACGGAGUUUAUAGAGC